GCCGCUGUGGCCGGCGGCCGUGGUGACGCUGGUGCUGCUGGCGCCCGGGAUCGGCGUCCUGCUGGAACGGUUCGUCUUCCGCCCGGCGGCG
rnacentral:tRNA from 1 species